UUGCCAGGAUGUGUGGGAGGUUUCCAGGCAUUGCUCAUUAGGUUCAUGUGGUCAGUGCAUGUUCACGCACAAUGACAAAGCGGUUUUCUGUUCCAUAAGGAGCCGUGUCGGACCCUCCGUACACAGUUUACUCUGUGGCGAUUUGUCAGCGCGGUGUUUGAAAGUCCAGUCAUGCAGUGAGAGGGAAAAUAGAGACUGAAAUGGACCCGGGAUAAAUCUUCCAAGACAGUGGGUGAUUUUCAGGAAUGAUAGACAUAUUUAAACGUCCAGAAGGUGCUAUAAUUUGGUCCCCGGUGUAUCUACCAACCCAGAAAACGUGAAAAAGGACAAUGCAGUCCAACUUUAUUUCGCUAUCCUCUAAAUUGGAACUGGCUUGGAGAAGAGAGGUUUUUAUAAGAUGGCUGGAAAUUAAGAAGUGCUGCCAUAUCCAAGAUCCCAUUCCCUGGAUGCAGAAAAAUAAGGUUGAAAUUACAAACCAUUAAAUCACUGCCUCUAUGCAAAAGCAGGACAUUUUUGUGAAUAAUUAGAA